rnacentral:rRNA from 1 species
UGCGGAAGGAUCAUUACCGAGAAUUGUCCUCCGGGAUCAACUCUCCCACCCACUGUUUACUGUACUCUGUUGCUUCGGCAGGCCCGUCUCCGGACCGCCGGGCCCCCCGCCGGGGUCUGGCCAGCGCCUGUCAGAGGACCCCCCAAACUCGUUUUGUCAGUGUAGUCUGAGCCUAACUUGAAUUAUUAAAACUUUCAACAACGGAUCUCUUGGUUCUGGCAUCGAUGAAGAACGCAGCGAAAUGCGAUAAGUAAUGUGAAUUGCAGAAUUCAGUGAACCAUCGAAUCUUUGAACGCACAUUGCACCCCCUGGUAUUCCGGGGGGUAUGCCUGUUCGAGCGUCACUAAACCCCUCAAGCCUAGCUUGGUAUUGGGGCGCGCCGGCCCCGGCGCCCCCUAAAAUCAGUGGCGGCUCGGCCCGGACUCCAAGCGUAGUAGAACACCUCGCUGGGGAGUAGGGGCUGGGAGCCUGCCAGAAGCCUAUCAACCUUCUAAGUUUGACCUCGGAUCAGGUAGGGAUACCCGCUGAACUUAAGCAUAUC